GCCAGCGUGGCCCGGUGGUUUGAUUGCUGGACUAUGACUCUGGAGACCAGGGUUCAGUUCCCUGUUCAGCCG